AUGGUGUCUAGCAACGUUGGGUACCUCGUUUCUUGUGUGUGUGAGCGAGUGGUUGCUGUUUACGAUGUGUUCAUAUAUCGCUUUGUAGUGCUGUAAUGUGCAAAUUAGCGGACUUUAUAGCGGCUCUCUAUUUUCCGUCGUUGUCUUUCGAGCAGCGCCUGUUGUUCCGGUAAAAAUCGAGUUGAAUGAAUCGCCACAGCCCCAACGUAUAUCGCGCAGUGUUGACCAAGACCAAGUCAAGCAGGAAUUCUGGCAUGGUAUGUGGCUGCACGAAGGAUUCCAGAAAAGAAAAACAACAACAUGGCUAAUAGGAUGUUGCUGCCCAGGGAGUCCUGGCGAAGAGGUUUACUCAUUCCAGAAGCAAGAAUUGUAUCAUUGUAAGGCGAAUGGAAAUAAACUGACAUCGACUGAGAUAGGUGCUCUGUCAUGGCCAAUGACUGUCGGAUGGCUCCAAAAGCGUCACAACAAAGCCAAUAUUCAUCUAGCUCUCUACAAGUAGCUA